rnacentral:rRNA from 1 species
GACGAACGCUGGCGGCGUGCCUAACACAUGCAAGUCGAACGGAGUGGCGAACGGGUGAGUAACACGUGGGUGACCUGCACUGCACUUCGGGAUAAGCCUGGGAAACUGGGUCUAAUACCGGAUAGUGUGGGAUGGGCCCGCGGCCUAUCAGCUUGUUGGUGGGGUAAUGGCCUACCAAGGCGGCGACGGGUAGCCGGCCUCAGAGGGUGGACGGCCACAUUGGGACUGUGACGCGUCCCAGACUCCUACGGGAGGCAGCAGUGGGGAAUCCUGCACAAUGGGCGGAAGCCUGCUGCAGUGACGCCGCGUGGGGGAUGACGUCCUUCGUGUUGUAAGCUCCUUUCACCAUCGACGCGGUAGAUGGAGAAGAAGCACCGGCUAAGUACGUGCCAGCCGCCGCGGUAAUAC